rnacentral:rRNA from 1 species
UAUCUCUGUAGAGUCUGCAUAUCAAUAAGCGGAGGAAAAGAAACUAACAAGGAUUCCCUUAGUAACGGCGAGUGAAGCGGGAAGAGCUCAAAUUUGAAAUCUUCAAGGUUUUACCUUGACGAAUUGUAGUUUAAAGAAGUGUUUUCUGUUGAAGUUUCGGUAAAAGUUCUUUGGAAUAGGACAUCAUAGAGGGUGAGAAUCCCGUAUUUGACCGUUAUUUUCAGCUGUGUGAUACACUUUCAAAGAGUCGGAUUGUUUGGGAAUGCAGUCCAAAAUGGGUGGUAAAUUUCAUCUAAAGCUAAAUAUUGGCGAGAGACCGAUAGCGAACAAGUACCGUGAGGGAAAGAUGAAAAGAACUUUGAAAAGAGAGUUAAACAGUACGUGAAAUUGUCAAAAGGGAAGCGUUUGACACCAGUGUUGUUUUUCCGAAAAUCAAUUACGAAUGGCUUGAUUUUGUGUUGUAUUGACCUUAUCAGCUUUCUUCACUUUUUCUCGAGUCUUUCUUAAUGCACUUUUCGGUUAACAAGUCAACAUCAAUUUCUUUUGUUGUAAAAAGGUCAUUGGAAGGUGGCUUUCUUUUCGGAGAAAGUGUUUAUAGCCUUUGACUCCUGCAAUCGGAGAGACUGAGGUCUGCAGCGUAGAUCCUUCUGGAUUAGAUUCAUUUGUGCUAAGUUACAACCGUUUAUAGACAACUUGUUGACUAUAUUCGAUCCUGUAGCUUACUCGCUUAUGUAAUUUUACCUACGCUUAGGAUGUUGACUGAUAUGUAGUCGUA